rnacentral:rRNA from 1 species
CCUACGGGUGGCUGCAGUGAGGAAUAUUGGUCAAUGGGCGUGAGCCUGAACCAGCCAAGUCGCGUGAAGGAUGACGGCCCUAUCGGUUGUAAACUUCUUUUAUAGGGGAAUAAAGUGAUCCACGUGUGCCUUUUUGCAUGUACCCUAUGAAUAAGCAUCGGCUAACUCCGUGCCAGCAGCCGCGGUAAUACGGAGGAUGCGAGCGUUAUCCGGAUUUAUUGGGUUUAAAGGGUGCGUAGGUUGGUUUUUAAGUCAGGGGUGAAAGUUUGCGGCUCAACCGUAAAAUUGCCGUUGAAACUGGAAGCCUUGAGUGUGUUUGAGGUAGGCGGAAUGCGUGGUGUAGCGGUGAAAUGCAUAGAUAUCACGCAGAACUCCGAUUGCGAAGGCAGCUUACUAAGCCGCAACUGACACUGAAGCACGAAAGCGUGGGUAUCAAACAGGAUUAGAUACCCGGGUAGUC